rfam:Gossypium hirsutum cultivar TM-1 unplaced genomic scaffold scaffold458.1, whole genome shotgun sequence
UAUUAAAAAAUUCAUUCACUUCUAUUAUUAAAAAUUAGUGUGGCUGACACAGACAUUUACACAUGGCGUACUAUGUGUAUCUCAUCCUAACAUUCAAGGACCAAUUUUUAACCGGAAAAAUGGAUGAAAUUUUUAAUA